AGGGAAUCUUCCACAAUGGACGAAAGUCUGAUGGAGCAACGCCGCGUGAGUGAUGAAGGUUUUCGGAUCGUAAAACUCUGUUGUAAGGGAAGAACCAGUACGUCAGGCAAUGGACGUACCUUGACGGUACCUUAUUAGAAAGCCACGGCUAACUACGUGCCAGCAGCCGCGGUAAUACGUAGGUGGCAAGCGUUGUCCGGAAUUAUUGGGCGUAAAGCGCGCGCAGGUGGUUUCUUAAGUCUGAUGUGAAAGCCCACGGCUUAACCGUGGAGGGUCAUGGGAACCUGGGAGACUUGAGGGCGGAAGAGGAAAGUGAAUUUCCAAGGGUGGCGGUGAAAUGCUUAGGGAUUUGGGGGAAAACCGGUGGGGAAGCCGACUUCUGGGUCUGCAAUUGCCGCGGAGGCGCGAAGGCAUGGGGGCCAAACG
rnacentral:rRNA from 1 species